GGGUUGUGAGGUUAAGCGACUAAGCGUACACGGUGGAUGCCCUGGCAGUCAGAGGCGAUGAAGGGCGUGCUAAUCUGCGAUAAGCGCCGGUAAGGUGAUAUGAACCGUUAUAACCGGCGAUACCCGAAUGGGGAAACCCAGUGUGAUUCGUCACACUAUCAUUAACUGAAUCCAUAGGUUAAUGAGGCGAACCGGGGGAACUGAAACAUCUAAGUACCCCGAGGAAAAGAAAUCAACCGAGAUUCCCCCAGUAGCGGCGAGCGAACGGGGAGGAGCCCAGAGCCUGAAUCAGCAUGUGUGUUAGUGGAAGCGUCUGGAAAGGCGCGCGAUACAGGGUGACAGCCCCGUACACAAAAGCGCAUGUGCUGUGAGCUCGAUGAGUAGGGCGGGACACGUGGUAUCCUGUCUGAAUAUGGGGGGACCAUCCUCCAAGGCUAAAUACUCCUGACUGACCGAUAGUGAACCAGUACCGUGAGGGAAAGGCGAAAAGAACCCCGGCGAGGGGAGUGAAAAAGAACCUGAAACCGUGUACGUACAAGCAGUGGGAGCACCCUUUUGGGUGUGACUGCGUACCUUUUGUAUAAUGGGUCAGCGACUUAUAUUCUGUAGCAAGGUUAACCGAAUAGGGGAGCCGGAGGGAAACCGAGUCUUAAUUGGGCGUUAAGUUGCAGGGUAUAGACCCGAAACCCGGUGAUCUAGCCAUGGGCAGGUUGAAGGUUGGGUAACACUAACUGGAGGACCGAACCGACUAAUGUUGAAAAAUUAGCGGAUGACCUGUGGCUGGGGGUGAAAGGCCAAUCAAACCGGGAGAUAGCUGGUUCUCCCCGAAAGCUAUUUAGGUAGCGCCUCGUGAAUUCAUCUCCGGGGGUAGAGCACUGUUUCGGCUAGGGGGCCAUCCCGGCUUACCAACCCGAUGCAAACUGCGAAUACCGGAGAAUGUUAUCACGGGAGACACACGGCGGGUGCUAACGUCCGUCGUGAAGAGGGAAACAACCCAGACCGCCAGCUAAGGUCCCAAAGUCAUGGUUAAGUGGGAAACGAUGUGGGAAGGCCCAGACAGCCAGGAUGUUGGCUUAGAAGCAGCCAUCAUUUAAAGAAAGCGUAAUAGCUCACUGGUCGAGUCGGCCUGCGCGGAAGAUGUAACGGGGCUAAACCAUGCACCGAAGCUGCGGCAGCGACACUGUGUGUUGUUGGGUAGGGGAGCGUUCUGUAAGCCUGUGAAGGUGUGUCGUGAGGCAUGCUGGAGGUAUCAGAAGUGCGAAUGCUGACAUAAGUAACGAUAAAGCGGGUGAAAAGCCCGCUCGCCGGAAGACCAAGGGUUCCUGUCCAACGUUAAUCGGGGCAGGGUGAGUCGACCCCUAAGGCGAGGCCGAAAGGCGUAGUCGAUGGGAAACGGGUUAAUAUUCCCGUACUUGGUGUUACUGCGAAGGGGGGACGGAGAAGGCUAUGUUGGCCGGGCGACGGUUGUCCCGGUUUAAGCGUGU
rnacentral:rRNA from 1 species